GCUUUCCUUGUCAUGGGGUGAGAGAGCUGCUCAAUGAGCGUUUAGUGAGAGCGGUCCUGCUGACACCACAAUAACAACACACACGCAUCGCCUGGACACACGUCCAGGGUCCGGUGCACUUUUUGGAAAC
ensembl:snRNA